ACAGUGUGGAUUCUCCUCUCAAAAAUAUACCAGUUUUACGGUUUAUUUCCAUAAAUGUUAUGAAACAAUCCUAGUUUUAUGUUGUACUGUACUAUUAUGCGUUUAAGCAGAGCUUACUUCAGAUGUUGCACCAUAUCUAUAUCACAAACUGUGAUUGGUUUCUGCCAGCAAUGGUUUCUUCACCGAGAGGUUCAUCCAAGAUUUAAGGUGAAUUCCCCAAAAAGUGGAACAUCUUUUCUGCCUUGCAUUGAACCUGAAGUUCAUAUCCUGUGGGUCCUAUAGAAGGAGGCUAGCAGUCGCUCAUUGCGGCACAUGAUGGCAUUGAGGUCAGCAGGCAGGAUGGAGCUGGUCUGAGUGUCACGCAGGGUGCCACUGUUAGCAUUCAGACUGUCUAUGUACCAGCGUGAA